UUAGCUUUAAUAUGAUCUACGUAUCAAUUUUACUUUGGUUUUCCAGCUUAGAGAAGAGGACGGCAUACAAAAAAAAAUAUCUUCUGCAAAGAAAAGCACAGUCAUGUAGAGAACCUUUCCAUUCCCAAUCUGGACCCAGGCUAUUUAUUAAACUAAUCCAUGUUCUGAACUGUUAUUGCUACUGGAAAGGGGCCCGAUCCAGACCCCAAAAGAGGAUUCUUGGAUCUUGCACAAGAAAGAAAGGUGAGUCCAUAAAGUAAAGUGAAAGCAAGUUUAUUAAGAAA
rnacentral:lncRNA from 1 species